UGGGACAUUUGGAUGUCUGUGCCUGUGCU
rnacentral:piRNA from 1 species